AGCUUCAUGGCGCAAUGGUAGCACACCAGGUUUAGCAUAUCUUUGAAAUCCUCCGUUCGAAUCGGAGAGAAGCUA